GUCAUACAUCAGUCGCAGUCCUAGGCCGACGCCAAUUGCCGCCCUAGGCCGCACGCCAGUUGCCAUCCUCGGCCAUCUCGCUCCAGGAAGAGCCGCUUCCAGAUCUCCGCUGUCAACUUCUCUUGAAUAAGUUCCUACAGAUCCACCAUAAAAGAAUGGGGGGUGAGGACUAGGAGUGCUACCGCAGUGCCAAUCCCUUCCGCCUUUACUCCAGUCUCGGCUACUUCAUGAUCUUCCCCAUCGCCAUCUCCUACGGUGCUGUCAUCGUCAUUGCCUGAGGCCCGCACUUCUUCUGUGGCAGUCUUGUCUCCAUCGUGGUCGUGAGCAGAGUCACCACCAAAUGUUAGCAAGGGCGGAGGCUAGAAAGGCAGACAGGUGGAGAUGCAACAAAGACAGGGCCACGG
rnacentral:lncRNA from 1 species